rnacentral:rRNA from 1 species
AUUUCCGUAGGUGAACCUGCGGAGGGAUCAUUACCGAGUUCAUGCCCUUACGGGUAGAUCUCCCACCCUGUGUUAUUAUUACCUUUGUUGCUUUGGCGGGCCGUCAGAUUUCGGUCAGGCUACCGGCUCCGGCUGGUAAGCGCCCGCCAGAGGACCCCAAACUCUGAAUAUUAGUGUCGUCUGAGUACUAUAUAAUAGUUAAAACUUUCAACAACGGAUCUCUUGGUUCUGGCAUCGAUGAAGAACGCAGCGAAAUGCGAUAAGUAAUGUGAAUUGCAGAAUUCAGUGAAUCAUCGAAUCUUUGAACGCACAUUGCGCCCCUUGGUAUUCCGAGGGGCAUGCCUGUUCGAGCGUCAUUACAACCCUCAAGCACUGCUUGGUAUUGGGCUCCGCUGCUUAUCCAACGAGCCUUGAAAUUAGUGGCGGUGUCAUUAGACCCUGAGCGUAGUAAAUAUCCUCGCUAUAGGGACUUGGUGAUUACUGGCCAGCAACCCCCACUUUCUAAGUUUGACCUCGGAUCAGGUAGGGAUACCCGCUGAACUUAAGCAUAUCAAUAAGCGGAGGAAAAGAAACCAACCAAUCU